GAGCCCGUAGCUCAGUCGGUAGAGCGGUUGACUUUUAAUCAAUAGGUCACAGGUUCGAUCCCUGUCGGGCUCA
rnacentral:tRNA from 1 species